AAUCAACGCUGGCGGCGUGCCUCAGACAUGCAAGUCGAACGAUUAAAGCUCCCUUCGGGGAGUGCAUAGAGUGGCGCACGGGUGAGUAACACGUAAGUAACCUACCUUCGAGUGGGGAAUAACGUCCGGAAACGGACGCUAAUACCGCAUAAUGCAGCGGCAUCGCAAGAUGACAGUUGUUAAAGAUUUAUCGCUUGAAGAGGAGCUUGCGGCAGAUUAGCUAGUUGGUAAGGUAAUGGCUUACCAAGGCUACGAUCUGUAACCGGUCUUAGAGGACGGUCGGUCACACUGACACUGAAUAACGGGUCAGACUCCUACGGGAGGCAGCAGUCGGGAAUUUUGGGCAAUGGGCGAAAGCCUGACCCAGCAACGCCGCGUGAAGGAUGAAGUAUUUCGGUAUGUAAACUUCGAAAGAAUGGGAAGAAUCAAUGACGGUACCAUUUAUAAGGUCCGGCUAACUACGUGCCAGCCGCCGCUGUAA
rnacentral:rRNA from 1 species